rnacentral:rRNA from 1 species
GAUUCGUCACACUAUCAUUAACUGAAUCCAUAGGUUAAUGAGGCGAACCGGGGGAACUGAAACAUCUAAGUACCCCGAGGAAAAGAAAUCAACCGAGAUUCCCCCAGUAGCGGCGAGCGAACGGGGAGGAGCCCAGAGCCUGAAUCAGCAUGUGUGUUAGUGGAAGCGUCUGGAAAGGCGCGCGAUACAGGGUGACAGCCCCGUACACAAAAGCGCAUGUGCUGUGAGCUCGAUGAGUAGGGCGGGACACGUGGUAUCCUGUCUGAAUAUGGGGGGACCAUCCUCCAAGGCUAAAUACUCCUGA